CUCCGGCUGACGAGUCCUAAAUGGGACGAAACGCGCAUCCUGGAU
rnacentral:hammerhead_ribozyme from 1 species